UACGGAGGGUGCGAGCGUUGUCCGGAAUUACUGGGCGUAAAGAGCUCGUAGGUGGUUUGUCGCGUUGUCCGUGAAAACUCACAACUCAAUUGUGGGCGUGCGGGCGAUACGGGCAGGCUGGAGUACUGCAGGGGAGACUGGAAUUCCUGGUGCAGCGGUGAAAUGCGCAGAUAUCAGGAGGAACACCGGUGGCGAAGGCGGGUCUCUGGGCCGAUACUGACGCUGAGGAGCGAAAGCGUGGGGAGCGAACAGG
rnacentral:rRNA from 1 species